rnacentral:rRNA from 1 species
UGGGGAAUAUUGCACAAUGGGCGAAAGCCUGAUGCAGCAACGCCGCGUGCGGGAUGACGGCCUUCGGGUUGUAAACCGCUUUCAGCAGGGACGAAGGUUUUCUGACGGUACCUGCAGAAGAAGCACCGGCUAACUACGUGCCAGCAGCCGCGGUGAUACGUAGGGUGCGAGCGUUGUCCGGAAUUAUUGGGCGUAAAGAGCUUGUAGGCGGUCCGUUGCGUCGGAAGUGAAAACUCAGGGCUUAACCCUGAGCCUGCUUUCGAUACGGGCGGACUUGAGGGAUGUAGGGGAGAACGGAAUUCCUGGUGGAGCGGUGGAAUGCGCAGAUAUCAGGAGGAACACCAGUGGCGAAGGCGGUUCUCUGGACAUUUCCUGACGCUGAGAAGCGAAAGCGUGGGGAGCAAACAGGCUUAGAUACCCUGGUAGUCCACGCCGUAAACGGUGGGCACUAGGUGUGGGACCCAUUCCACGGGUUCCGUGCCGUAGCUAACGCAUUAAGUGCCCCGCCCGGGGUAGUACGGCCGCAAGGCUAAAACCGUCAAAUGAAUUGACGGGGUCAUAGCUGUUUCCUG